GACAGAGGGUGCAAACGUUGCUCGGAAUUACUGGGCGUAAAGGGCGCGUAGGUGGCCUGUUAAGUCGAACGUGAAAUCCCCGGGCUCAACCCGGGAACUGCGUCCGAGACUGGCAGGCUCGAAUCCGGGAGAGGGAUGUGGAAUUCCAGGUGUAGCGGUGAAAUGCGUAGAUAUCUGGAGGAACACCGGUGGCGAAGGCGGCAUCCUGGACCGGUAUUGACGCUGAGGCGCGAAAGCCAGGGGAGCAAACGGG
rnacentral:rRNA from 1 species